AGGGAAACUUCCCGGGAAGCUGCGGUCACCCAGGAAAAUCCAAACAGCAGCAGGUUUGGAAAAGUGUGCUCAAAACCGUGUCGUGACGGGCAGAGGACAGUGGGGUCGCAUCUCACAGUUGGAAGUGGUAGGUGCUGCCGAAAGAGAAGCUGAGGUCCGAGAGAGGUCACGUGACUUCUUCAAGGCUACAGAGCCACACGCUGCCAACAUCAGUGCGAGAAUCUCUCCUGUGACCUGCUCAGUACAGAUUUAUUGAAUGGAUAAUUGAUGAGGGAUCUGGGAACGCACAGGUGCCAAAUUCCGUUAUGACGAUCCUUUUCUCGGUCAUUGCCCGGACGUAAGCAUCGGUGCGGAUGAACCUGAAGGACACGGAGACAUGGGAAAGGGUCAUGGGCAGGGGCAACCCGUGCGGCCCACACGGAGCUGAGAAUGGUCCUCCUGUGUGUCCUCACGAAGUCGGGAUCAUAAAUGACACCAGGAAGAAUGAAGGGUGUGGUCUGGCCACUUUCUCAGGGUGACUAAGAGAGAAGGAGGCCGUGUGCUAUGAGCUUAAAUGUAUGAAGACUUAAAUUAUAAGAUAUAUUAUAAGAUAAUUAUAAGAUAAAUUAUAAGAUAAAUUAUAAGAUAAACUUCACAGUGGCAGAUGAGGAACUGGAGGCUCCUGGCUUGGACUUGCCGUGUCCGAGCGGAGAAGUCAAGUGAUGGGCACAUGGGAGGGAGCUGGGUUAGAGCUUCUCCGCCUCGCACCACGCAGCCUCCACGGUGGGUCACACACGGCCUCCGUGGACCCUUCCUGUGGCCUCUAACCCGUCAACC